CGCCUCCCCUUCUUUCUUUCUCUCUUUAAAAGCCCUUGCAUCAUCGCCCCCGCCACCCACCGUCUUUGCCCCCACCCAACCACUGUCGUUGCCUCUUGCCAAUGCCACCUGAAGCUCUGCCUCCAGCUCAAAGGUGAAGCAAUUGUAGGGGAUGAGGGCGCAAGAGAAUAACGGAGAGAGCAAGCAAAUCAAUCGGGGAGGCUGAAAUGGUGGGGGGAAUUGUUUGAAGAGUUCAAAGUUGACAGAACAAGCAAUUGAUCCCAACGGAGGCGAGAGGCGGCUGCAUCAACGACUAUUUUUGCAGCGAUGCUGGGCGGAGAAGGAGGCUGCGGUGGUGGCCCCGGAGGUACGAUGGCCAGCCGCAGCCAGAGCCACCGCCACCGCUACAGCCAGCCACCUCCACUGCCGCUAAAGCCAGCUAUGCAGCAACCUGGAGUGACAAAUACAAGGACAAAGAUGAAAGGAGAUUCGGGUCGACGACAAGUCAACUUCCAUCAAGCAGAGAUUAUUUAGCCGACUUCUUCGUGUGGAGACCUCCGACUGGUUUGGAGAAGAACCGAGCUUUCUGGGUGGCUUUAACGGUAGGGCUGGGUUUGGUGGGAGCUGCACUCUUUCUUCAAAGAUGAAGCAUAUGGAUACGUAAAAACCUUGAAAGGUGUAGUUAUUCUUCAGCCCAGGUUCCCAUGUAUUAUAAAUGUCAUUUUAUGCUCAUGUUCCUGUGAAAUAUAUUGCAUUAGAAACGAAAGAAAUUAUGCGAUUAUUUCUUGAAAAUGCUGUUCUUUUUUUAUGUUUAUGAAAUCUAUACACCUUAAACAAAGUGGCUAAAGCAAGUACACCUAGACCACCCGCCUCUUUAGGACCACAAUCAGGAUCCCAUUUCACUGAACACUUCUCCUCCUCUAAACCUAACCAAGCUAAGUGUACUUGCUUUAGCCAACCUUUACUUACGUAAUAAUAAGCAAAAGUGCCAAACGCAAUAUGUGAAAAGAAUGAAUGUUUUGAGAGUGAUUUGGGGCCAAAAAUAAUAUGACACUUCCUAUAAUGGUCAAUCGACAAUCCUACAACCAAAGUUAUUACCAAAGACUAAAGUCAUUAUUGUGAUUUUUUUUCCAAAGAUUGAUUGUUGGCAUGAAACCCUUUAGAUAUGAGAAAUAUUAAUUUGUCAUCCUAAGAAACAAAUCAGCAUGUUCAAAAAACAAGAAGCUGUCACGAAUGAUAUGGUUGGAUUUUUGUAUAUUCACCAAAACAAAUUG